rnacentral:hammerhead_ribozyme from 1 species
GCACUGCUGAGGAGUCCCACAAUAGGACAAAACAGCGGUCCAGUGC